rnacentral:rRNA from 1 species
GUGGGGAAUCUUGCGCAAUGGGCGAAAGCCUGACGCAGCCAUGCCGCGUGAAUGAUGAAGGUCUUAGGAUUGUAAAAUUCUUUCACCGGGGACGAUAAUGACGGUACCCGGAGAAGAAGCCCCGGCUAACUUCGUGCCAGCAGCCGCGGUAAUACGAAGGGGGCUAGCGUUGCUAGGAAUUACUGGGCGUAAAGGGCGCGUAGGCGGACAGGUUAGUCAGAGGUGAGAGCCCAGGGCUCAACCUUGGAAUUGCCUUUGAUCCUGGCUGUCUUGAGUACGGGCGAGGUGACUGGACCUCCGAGUGUAGAGGUGAAAUUCGUAGAUAUUCGGAAGAACACCAGUGGCGAAGGCGACUCACUGGCCCGUUACUGACGCUGAGGCGCGAAAGCGUGGGGAGCAAACAGGAUUAGAAACCCGUGUAGUCC